rnacentral:lncRNA from 1 species
GUCUGCCUCAUCCAAUAGAGUUGAUUUUAUUUUUUUUAUUCCCCAGGAAGAUGACUUCAGUCAGUCAUUCCAUACCUAGGGUGAGAUCGGGGUAAUCACUCCCAGGAGUUGGUUAGAAGAUGGACUGCCCUCUCUCCUCAAGCCUUAUUCAAUGGUGGCUCCUCCCUGGGCCCGGAGCCUAGGCCCAGUCUUGGGAAAGAAAUUUCUCUGUAGAGUUCACCAGAAACGACGAAAACUUACAAACCAGAUUUUUUCCUUUGGAAAAGUUGCUAGCUUUUUACCAAGUUCUUUUACACAUCAAAAUAAUUUCUCACUUCUGCAUUAUAUUCACUUCUAAUUUUGAAUUUCUCAUUUGCUCCUCCAUGAGCAUCCGUGGAUCAUGGUUUUGCAGUGAUGAACAGGACCGAGAAGGCCUCUGCCCCUCACAUGGCUCACGUGUUCAAGAAAGAGACAGACUGAAAUUGAGUAAAGAGAAAAGUAAAAAACUAUGAUAAUAGCGGAUCAUAAAAGUGCUAGAAGAAAGUGAAACAAGAUAAGGUGGUAAAGAAUGUUUGAGGGUCACAUUAGCUGGAGUGCUCCAAAGGCCUCUCGGAGGAGAUGACGUUUGCUCUGGGACCUGGUUGAAAUCCCUUGGCAUAAGGAAAGCAAGCUUUCCUGUUGUGAGCAGCCCUAUGGAGAGGCCCAUGUGGCAAGGAGCUGGCAUCUCAAGCCAGCAGACAGCAAGAGCCUGAGGCCUGCUGACAGUCACGUGGGUAAGCAUGGAAGUGGACCCUUCCCCAGCUGAGCCUUCAGAUGACUGCAGCCUCAGCUGACAUCUUGGUUGCAGCUUCAGGAGAUACCCUGAGUUGGAAGACUUCAGUUAAGCCUUAACUGGAUUCAU